AGAGUUUGAUCAUGGCUCAGAGCGAACGCUGGCGGCAGGCCUAACACAUGCAAGUCGAGCGCCCGUAGCAAUACGGGAGCGGCAGACGGGAGAGUAACACGUGGGAACGUACCCUUUGGUUCGGAACAACACAGGGAAACUUGUGCUAAUACCGGAUAAGCCCUUACGGGGAAAGAUUUAUCGCCAAAGGAUCGGCCCGCGUCUGAUUAGCUUGUUGGUGAGGUAACGGCUCACCAAGGCGACGAUCAGUAGCUGGUCUGAGAGGAUGAUCAGCCUCACUGGGACUGAGACACGGCCCAGACUCCUACGGGAGGCAGCAGUGGGGAAUAUUGGACAAUGGGCGCAAGCCUGAUCCAGCCAUGCCGCGUGGAUGAUGAAGGCCCUAGGGUUGUAAAGUCCUUUCGGCGGGGAAGAUAAUGACGGUACCCGCAGAAGAAGCCCCGGCUAACUUCGUGCCAGCAGCCGCGGUAAUACGAAGGGGGCUAGCGUUGCUCGGAAUCACUGGGCGUAAAGCGCACGUAGGCGGCUUUUUAAGUCAGGGGUGAAAUCCUGGAGCUCAACUCCAGAACUGCCUUUGAUACUGAGAAGCUUGAGUCCGGGAGAGGUGAGUGGAACUGCGAGUGUAGAGGUGAAAUUCGUAGAUAUUCGCAAGAACACCAGUGGCGAAGGCGGCUCACUGGCCCGGUACUGACGCUGAGGUGCGAAAGCGUGGGGAGCAAACAGGAUUAGAUACCCUAGUAGUCC
rnacentral:rRNA from 1 species